UUCAACUGCAAGGCCUCAACAAAUUGUCCACAUCCGUCAAAUUUCGAAGAUCUAAUGGAACGAUGGGGUUGAAUUUUGCAUCAACUUGUGGAGAUCACAGAGCUGCAGAACUCCAAGGCGUCUAGACUUCAGUGGAAAGAUGGGGUUGAUCUCGUAUGUUCAUUGCACUGCCGCGGCGGAGAAGCAAUUGGUCGAUGAAAAUAAUGCUUCGAUGAGUCGAGCUCUUAGGCUACGUUGUCGGGAUAAUUCGCGUUUCCUUUCGAAGUCAGAUAAAAGCAGGUCGCGCUAAUCAUCAUCGUGAUGUAUUUUGCCAAUUUCAUCAGCAUUUCGUAAAUUUGGUGAAGUCACGCUUGGAAAUAUACAAGCAAAAUGCUCGGGCUAUAUUAUCGACUUACUUGAGCGUAAUGAAUAAGAUCGGUGGAAAUUGCCCCAAAGAUGUGGUUUUCAGUGAAGUAGACUCACUGCUGUCAAGGGUUCAAAAAGAUAAAGCAAAAACAACAAAACUAGGAACCCUGUAUCUAUGGUCUCACUGCCAUCAAAUCAAGCAAUUAAAAAGGAG